CCUUUCCAGUUGCUCCGAUAUGGCUCCUGGAGCGGGUCCAAUCCACACGUGAAACUUCUCCUCCCAUCUUUGCACAUCAGUUUUUGGGGGUGGAGCUCAAUGAUGAGCAAGCUGAAAAGUGGUAGAAGUGGGGUGGGACGAGGAAAAAAGAUGUUGCACAGAAUGAGUACACAGCGUAAUAACUUAUACAGUUGCCGUCGACGAUUUUCGUACUGCGCUACUGUUGUCGGUGCUGCUCGCCCUCAACAUUAUGACGUCUACAAUUUACUGUCCAUGUUCAGUUGUUUACUCAGAUGCUGAUGAUGAUGAUGAUGGCUGACUGGCUCGGUGGGUGGCUGGGUGGCCCGGCAAUGUGACAUACUGGCUGGAUUUUUGUCGUUGACGAGGGUGGCUAUGCCGCCCAUUAACAGCCCUCUCCACCUCCAAUUCCAGUGGCCCAACUGCGGCGGCGUGCAAAUAAAAAUGAUUAAUGAUGAUGCCCGUUGCCACAGUCAUCUGAGGCAAAUUCACUAGCAGCAAUGCCCGCCGAGUAGGCGACAGUUCCUCCUUUGACCUCAUCUCUGAUCCCGAAAUUUGUGUCGCUCAGGAAUAGAGAGGAAAAGGACAGGCCUACACAUAUUUACAGCUU
ensembl:ncRNA lncRNA:CR44920 long non-coding RNA:CR44920